CGGAGGGUUUGAUCCUGGCUCAGGAUUAACGCUGGCGGCGUGUCUUAGCCAUGCAAGUCGAGCGGACCACUUCCUGGGAGUAAUCCUUGGGAAGUGGUCAGCGGCGAACGGGUGAGUAACACGUGGGUAACCUGCCUCCGGGAGGGGGAUAACCAGGGGAAACCCUGGCUAAUACCCCAUAAAGUCGGAGGAACGCAUGUUCUUCCGAUGAAAGGUGGCCUCUGGGGUAACCCAUGCUACCGCCUGGAGAGGGGCCCGCGGCCUAUCAGGUAGUUGGUGGGGUAACGGCCCACCAAGCCUAUGACGGGUAGCCGGCCUGAGAGGGUGACCGGCCACACUGGCACUGAGACACGGGCCAGACUCCUACGGGAGGCAGCAGGCUAGAAAUUUGGGCAAUGGGGGAAACCCUGACCCAGCGACGCCGCGUG
rnacentral:rRNA from 1 species